AUGAAUGCUUCCAAGAUUACUGAUGUUGAGCGUGAGGUUGUCCUUAGUGGUGGAGAUGAUGCUCGUGGUGUUCCCUUGUAUAGUGGGUGCAAUGUUGGUAACGAAGUUGCUGAUGAGGAUGCUGGCGUUGCCAGCAUAUUUGACGCCAAAUCGCCUGGUGUUGGUAUUGCUGGGAAUGAAAAUGUUCUUGAUUCUGAAGAUUUCCUACAGGAGAAUUUCCCGCCUAGAGGUUUUGAUUACGGUGAUGCAUUGCAAGAUGCUUCUAGCAUGGAGGAGGUGCCAUCCGAGGAUGAUGAUUUACUUCUGUCAAUUUCUUCUGACCCCUCGACGCAGGAGGCGCUCUUGUCGUCCCAGGAUUUUCUUUCUACAGACCUUGAAAGCUCAGCAAUAUUGGUGUCCUCUCAAGAUGUCCCAUCGUCAAACCCCGAAACUGGAGGCAUAAUGGUCUCAUCACAAGAACUACCGUCGUCGUCAAACCCUGAUAGUCCAGCGUUUGUCCCCACUAGCAUGCUCAACUCAGACAGUGCUGACAUUGUUUUAUAUUCUCUACGUCAGAAGUACCGAGACACUGACAAGUUGAUAGUUCUGAGAUGGGUGACGACCAAGAUCCGUGAUGGAAAUAUUGAUUCCAAUGUGCUAAAUUGGUUCACGAGAUCAAAGAGCCCUACUACACCCAAGAAUCCCAUUGUGGAAUUGAUAGAGAGCGAUGAUGAUGUGUUUGACAAGAUUGCUGGCGUUGGAAGAGUCACGAGGAGCGCUGCUGCUAAAGGUUUAUCUCCCCUUGCUGGAAUAGUGGCCCGUAGAGCUGGUGGUGCUAGGAAAGAUCCUACUUUGGAUUCUGGCAAUGUUGUAAGCACGAAGCGUGCGCCCAGGGAUCCUAUAAAGUUUUGA
rnacentral:rRNA from 1 species